UCCGGUUUGUCACCGGCAGUCACCUUAGAGUGCCCAACUGAAUGCUGGCAACUAAGAUCAAGGGUUGCGCUCGUUGCGGGACUUAACCCAACAUCUCACGACACGAGCUGACGACAACCAUGCACCACCUGUCACCGCUGUCCCCGAAGGGAAAGCCCUGUCUCCAGGGCGGUCAGCGGGAUGUCAAGACCUGGUAAGGUUCUCCGCGUUGCUUCGAAUUAAACCACAUGCUCCGCCGCUUGUGCGGGCCCCCGUCAAUUCCUUUGAGUUUUAACCUUGCGGCCGUACUCCCCAGGCGGAUGACUUAACGCGUUAGCUGCGCCACCGAAACGCUAAGCGCUCCGACAGCUAGUCAUCAUCGUUUACGGCGUGGACUAC
rnacentral:misc_RNA from 1 species